rnacentral:misc_RNA from 1 species
ACGUCAUCCCCGGCAGUCUCCCAUGAGUCCCCACCAUUACGUGCUGGCAACAUAGAACGAGGGUUGCGCUCGUUGCGGGACUUAACCCAACAUCUCACGACACGAGCUGACGACAACCAUGCACCACCUGUGAACCGACCCCAAAGGGGAAACCACAUUUCUGCAGCGAUCCGGUCCAUGUCAAGCCUUGGUAAGGUUCUUCGCGUUGCAUCGAAUUAAUCCGCAUGCUCCGCCGCUUGUGCGGGCCCCCGUCAAUUCCUUUGAGUUUUAGCCUUGCGGCCGUACUCCCCAGGCGGGGCACUUAAUGCGUUAGCUACGGCACGGGAGGAGUCGACACCUCCCACACCUAGUGCCCAUCGUUUACGGCGUGGACUAC